rnacentral:rRNA from 1 species
UACAGAGGGGGCAAGCGUUAUUCGGAAUUAUUGGGCGUAAAGGGCGCGUAGGCGGCCAUUCAAGUGACGGGUGAAAGCCCUCGGCUUAACCGAGGAACUGCCUGUCAGACUGGAUGGCUUGAGACCGGGAGAGGUGAGUGGAAUUCCCAGUGUAGCGGUGAAAUGCGUAGAUAUUGGGAGGAACACCAGUGGCGAAGGCGGCUCACUGGACCGGUAUUGACGCUGAGGCGCGAAAGCCAGGGGAGCGAACGGG